GGGAGCAACUGGGUGAUGAUUACAAGCCAGUUAACUGAAUGAGUCCUUCAGCCGCUGGCUAGCUAGCUGUUCUUAUCUUACCAUUAUAUGUCUUCCUCAGUAUUGUUUUGUGAAUUAUUUCUUUUUUCGAACUAUGCAGGAGGACUGCAUGUGAUGAGUUAAGGCACAAGAAGAUCUAUGACCAUUUUAGCUCCAGCAGUUAGUACACAACCAAUCAACAGUGCAUUUUCACGACCCAGGCUUCUGAAUUCUGACUGACAGGCUCGCAGGCACAGCCACAUAUAAUCUCACGCAUUCAAAAUGCUAGCUACAUGAAAUACGCCCAGAUUUACGAGUAGAAAUCCAAGGCAUUGCAGUCCAAUUGUUCUAAGGAUUGGAACCAGACGUGUGGCUCAAUACUGCUUGGAACAUGUGAGCAAAGUUUACGUACAUGCACCUUCUUGGAUGAUACAACUUCUCUAUGUUUGUACCUCCUCGUCAUUAAAACUUUGCAAACUUUAUGAGUAAAAAGUAAGAAGUAAUGUUCUCACUUCUCUUUUUUAUGACCAUCAUUAUCUCAGUCUCAACAACAUCCAGGAGAUGUACCUACGUAGCUACUGUUAGUUCAAAAGCUUUAUUUCACAAGUUGGCAACAUGAUAUUCAGGAUGUUAAGCAGGUGUUAUAGUUCUAAUUUGCCUUCUUCUCAUAAAACUUGGGUCUCAUAAACAGUAGAGACUGUAGCCCGAUGUUGCUCACUGCACACUUAUACUUAUUCUGAUUUCUGAUGGCCUUCCAAAUUUGAAUUAUUGUCUUGAUGCCAGGUGGAGGACCUUUGCAAUCUUAUCAAGCUUGACGCUAAACUGGCACUCUUACUUGAUCCCGUAUUACUCCUUCGAACAAUUUGUGCGCAAAGUUGAGGAAAUUGGGGCCAAUAAUCGUGUUAGAAUAAACUUCUUUCUUCCUUUUUCCAUACUGCGGGGCAGCAGGAUCUGAGUCCCACUACAUCGCCCUUUGGUAUGUUUCAUGGGGAUCUUUUUUAUUCAACGCAUAAAUGCUGAUUCGUUCAUGUGUUUAUUAGAAGUAAGAGGCGCAGCAUGCGAGGCGUCCUCGAAGUUGAAGGAGUAGUAGAGCAGAGGAUCUUCUUAGUGAUUUGGAUAUACAGAGUUUAUGAUACAAAGACCUAUUUUGUUUUUGUACUGACUCUUGAAUUUUCUGCUUUCUAUUUCUGAACCCUUUUGAUAUGUUCUUUACUCCUGAUUUCAGCCUUUUAAGGUAUGUUCUUCUUCCGGGAUUGCAGAGAGCAUGGACCACCGAAUGGAAGAAGGAGAUGCCAUCCUUGACUGUCGUUGUCUUUGGCAUGUUGCUACCAUUUUUUAAUCCUUGCACUGCAGAGACCUCAGUCUAUCCAUGUAGGUCAUGCCUUCUAAUCAGUUUUUUGACUCUUAUGUAUGUGUGUGCUCUUGCAUUACUUACUGGAUCUUGUUGUAUACGAUGAUCCAUUGUCAGCUAUACAAAGGCUCUGAAUUAAAAAAUUUGUCAAGUUCAGUUUAGAUUUAAUUUUAUUCCACCUCUUUUUGAAUGGACAAUGUGUGUGCUGUUUAAACGAACACUAUGUGAAAUUCAUAGGCAUUGUGAGGGCAUGGAGAAAGGAUUCGAUUUUUA